GAUGAACGCUAGCGGCAGGCUUAACACAUGCAAGUCGAGGGCAGCAUGAGACGGAGAUUCGUCGAAGUCUUGAUGGCGACCGGCGCAAGGGUGCGUAACGCGUGAGCAACUUGCCCGUUUCUGGGGAAUAACCGGUGGAAACGCCGACUAAUACCCCAUGGCAUUGAUUGGAGGCAUCUCCGAUCAAUUAAAGAAUUUCGGAAACGGAUAGGCUCGCGUGACAUUAGCUAGUUGGUGAGGUAACGGGCCCACCAAGGCGACGAUCAGUAGCCGGACUGAGAGGUUGACCGGCCACAUUGGGACUGAGAUACGGCCCAGACUCCUACGGGAGGCAGCAGUGGGGAAUAUUGCACAAUGGGCGAAAGCCUGAUGCAGCAACGCCGCGUGAGGGAAGACGGUUUUCGGAUUGUAAACCUCUGUCUUUGGUGAAGAUAAUGACGGUAGCCAAGGAGGAAGCCACGGCUAACUACGUG
rnacentral:rRNA from 1 species